UACGGGGGGGGGGGCAAGCGUUGUUCGGAAUUACUGGGCGUAAAGGGCUCGUAGGCGGCCAACUAAGUCAGACGUGAAAUCCCUCGGCUUAACCGGGGAACUGCGUCUGAUACUGGAUGGCUCGAGUUUGGGAGAGGGAUGCGGAAUUCCAGGUGUAGCGGUGAAAUGCGUAGAUAUCUGGAGGAACACCGGUGGCGAAGGCGGCAUCCUGGACCAACACUGACGCUGAGGAGCGAAAGCCAGGGGGAGCAAACGGG
rnacentral:rRNA from 1 species